GAUGAUGAAGACCACGGGGUACUUGGUGCUGCUCAGCAUCUCCAGGUCGCCCAUGCCGAUGGUCAGCUUAAACAGGUCCAGGAGGAAGGUGCUGAAGGUCCCGCUGUCGCGGCACGAGGGGUGGAGCUUCAGAUUCCUUCUCAACAGUUUGGCAGCAACAACCUGUCCCUAAACCAGCCAGGGAGGGGAGCAUGAAGAAGACUCAGUCCCAUCAGUCAGUGGGGCACAGAAUGUCAUAUUGCCUGCAACCAGGGAUUAGAGUAUGCAGAUUUCAACUCAUAUGCUAAUGUUCUUCAGUUGUAUAGUACCUGGUGAAACACUGUGUUGAGAAGGAUUCUGAGACCUUGUCUGGACUCACCAGAAAAACUGUUCUGUGAUCCAUUAGUGAUGUCUGCUAUGGACACCAAAGUGUGGGAACAGAAGCGUGUGUGUCCUGUUUAUGUCAUGUCAGCCUCAGAAUUGAGAUCUAGUGCAUCCUAUAAGAAGACCUGCAACCAAGCUGACUGCUAAGCUGCUACUCUAACCCUUGUUUCUCCUUAGUUUCAGUAACUAGGACUGCAGUAGGGCUAGAUCCCUGACCUGAAUCCCAAACUGUUGUUGAACUCUUGACACUGUCUAGUUUUUCCAGUGUGAUCCCUGGGAAGGGAAAGCUGUACCGUGUCGCUAUCUCCCCAGUGAAAACUACAAUUCCACUUCCCACCAAUAAUCUACAUGGAGACUUGGCCACUAUCGUGGGUUAAAAUAUCACCCUUGUCAGAUUCCUGUGCCAGCCUCGUCCCCAGAUGAACCUGCUCAGAUGUGAAUGUGUCCAGGUCUAACCUGAGUUGGCCAUUCCCCUUUGGAUGCUGGGCAUUGAUGUCAGAUUACCCACCCCUCGGGGAUCAGCCCAAGGACUUGGUCAGUUUCUCCAGCCCUGGUCCCUGGUCCUUCUCCCAUGACCCAUGCCACUGAGGUCCCAGAAUGCUUCUUAGUGACAUCACAAAGAAGGUAUAUCAAAGGGAGCUGAUGUUGGGCUUUAAGAAAAUACCUGGGCUGCUAGUUUAAUUAUUAAAUUUUAUCCUUCCAUGUA